rnacentral:rRNA from 1 species
GACGAACGCUGGCGGCGUGCCUAAUACAUGCAAGUCGAACGCAGUGGGGACGGGUGAGUAACCCGUGGGUAACCUCCCAUCAGAGGGGAUAACACUUGGAAACAGGUGCUAAACCGAUACUGAUGGAUGGACCCGCGGUGCCUUAGCUAGUUGGUGAGGUAACGGCCCACCAAGGCAACGAUGCAUAGCCGACCUGAGAGGGGGAUCAGACACACUGGAACUGAGAAGCGGCACAGACUCCUACGGGAGGCAGCAGUGGGGAAUCUUCGGCAAUUGACGAAAGGCUGACCGAGCAAUGCCGAGUGAGUGAAGAAGGUUUUCGGGUCGUAAAACUCUGUUGUUAGGGAAGCGGUAUCUAACCAGGAAGCCACGGCUAACUACGUGCCAGCAGCCGCGGUAAUAC